UUAAAAUACAGAACCUUCGCGAACCAAACCAACCCCCUCCCCUUCUUCCCCCAAUACGUGCACUCCAUGAGACCUCUGAAGCAAAGCAAAAGUGCAAAACCCUAGCCCUUCAGCGCCGCUGCCGUCCCCAGGUCCUCAGCGCCGCCGCUUCUUCCUCUUCCCUAUUUUGCAGAACCCAGGUAGCUCGGCACGUCGUCUUUAUCUUCGUUGGCUUCUCUGUUCGUCGCUUGGAGGAGCUCGCCGUCGGGUCGUCGGUUGCUGUCGUCUCGCCUAUCGCCUCGUCUCGCCAGUUGCCGUCUGUCGAAGGGAGCAGCACAAAGUUGGGAGUGGAGUAGCUUGCAGCAUUGAAAACCAUCAGCACAAUGAACUGGUAAUGGAGGCAGUCAUAAUAAUAAAUAACAUGCCAGUAGACAACACCAAGUGCUUCAGGAAGUAUGGUGAUAAAACAGAGGUUUCUUAACAAAGUCUCUUGGAUUUUAUGUUUUAUAAGCCAAAGGAUUGAUCCUAUUUUAGGUAUCUUUCUAAAGAUAGUUUACACAGUCUCAAUUUAUGAAUUUUCACCAUCAUCUGAAAACAUGUUUGAUUGGAAGCUUGGAAAACACUUAAUACUAUCAAUGUAUUAACUAUUAACAAACAUAUUCUGUAAUUUUAUAUUAUAGCAAUAAACAUGUUCUAUAAUUUUUA